rnacentral:rRNA from 1 species
GACAUCUCGGGAAUCAUUUGGAAACAUAUGAGUGCCUCGCAAGAGGAGCCCGAUGACAGGUGCUGCAUGGCUGUCGUCAGCUCGUGUCGUGAGAUGUUGGGUUAAGUCCCGCAACGAGCGCAACCCUUGUCUUUAGUUGCCAUCAUUAAGUUGGGCACUCUAAAGAGACUGCCGGUGUCAAACCGGAGGAAGGUGGGGAUGACGUCAAGUCCUCAUGGCCUUUAUGACCAGGGCUACACACGUACUACAAUGGCAGGUACAAAGGGCAGCCACUUAGCGAUAAGGCGCGAAUCCCAUAAAACCUGUCUCAGUCCGGAUUGGAGUCUGCAACUCGACUCCAUGAAGUUGGAAUCGCUAGUAAUCGCAGAUCAGCACGCUGCGGUGAAUACGUUCCCGGGCCUU